rnacentral:rRNA from 1 species
AUUGAACGCUGGCGGCAGGCCUAACACAUGCAAGUCGAGCGAGCGGCGGACGGGUGAGUAAUGUCUGGGAAACUGCCUGAUGGAGGGGGAUGACUACUGGAAACGGUAGCUAAGACCGCAUACCAUCAGAUGUGCCCAGAAGGGAUUAGCUAGGAGGUGGGGUAACGGCUCACCUAGGCGACGAUCCCUAGCUGGUCUGAGAGGAUGACAAGCCACACUGGAACUCAGAAACGGCCCGGCCUCCUCCGGGAGGCAGCAGUGGGGAAUAUUGCAAAAUGGGCGCAAGCCGACUGCAGCAAGGCCGGGGGUGUAAGGAGGGCCUUCGGGUUGAAAAGCACUUUGGUCGGGGAGGCGUUACUCACAGAGGAAGCACCGGCUAACUCCGUGCCAGCAGCCGCGGUAAUAC